rnacentral:rRNA from 1 species
GACGAACGCUGGCGGCGUGCCUAAUACAUGCAAGUAGAACGCACAGUUUAUACCGUAGCUUGCUACACCAUAGACUGUGAGUUGCGAACGGGUGAGUAACGCGUAGGUAACCUGCCUGGUAGCGGGGGAUAACUAUUGGAAACGAUAGCUAAUACCGCAUAAUAUUAAUUAUUGCAUGAUAAUAAAUUGAAAGGUGCAAUUGCACCACUACCAGAUGGACCUGCGUUGUAUUAGCUAGUAGGUGAGGUAACGGCUCACCUAGGCGACGAUACAUAGCCGACCUGGGAGGGUGGUCGGCCACACUGGGACUUGGACACGGCCCAGACUCCUACGGGAGGCAGCAGUAGGGAAUCUUCGGCAAUGGACGAAAGGCUGACCGAGCAACGCCGCGUGAGUGGAGAAGGUUUUCGGAUCGGAAAGCUCGGUUGUAAGAGAAGAACGGGUGUGAGAGUGGAAAGUACACACUGUGACGGUAUCUUACCAGAAAGGGACGGCUAACUACGUG